GACGGAGGGUGCUAGCGUUGUUCGGAAUGACUGGGCGUAAAGGGCGCGUAGGCGGCUCGUGAAGUCGGGUGUGAAAGCCCGGGGCUCAACCCCGGAACGGCAUCCGAUACUGGCGGGCUUGAGACCGGGAGAGGAGGGUGGAAUACCCAGUGUAGAGGUGAAAUUCGUAGAUAUUGGGUGGAACUCCGGUGGCGAAAGCGGCUCUCUGGCCCGGAUCUGACGCUGAGGCGCGAAAGCGUGGGGAGCAAACAGG
rnacentral:rRNA from 1 species